rnacentral:rRNA from 1 species
GACGUAGGACGCGAGCGUUGUCCGGAGUUAUUGGGCGUAAAGAGCUCGUAGGCGGCUUGUUGUGUCAGCUGUGAAAACCCGCAGCUCAACUGUGGGCUUGCAGCUGAUACGGGCAGGCUUGAGUUCGGUAGGGGAGACUGGAAUUCCUGGUGUAGCGGUGAAAUGCGCAGAUAUCAGGAGGAACACCGGUGGCGAAGGCGGGUCUCUGGGCCGACACUGACGCUGUAGAGCGAAAGCGUGGGGAGCGAACAGG